CGGGGAGGAAGGCGAGCGAAGGCCGUCACCUGGCGGGCUCCAGUCGGUGGAACAAGAACAUGAAUGCUGGAGCUGCUGCAGCUGUUUUGUAAUCAUGAAGAAGACCUCAGGAGAAUUACACAGAACCUGACCCUGACAUCCUGGAGUUGCUGACCAGUGAUCACAACUGCCUCACUCUACGAAAAAAGAAAAAAGUAAGUCCAGCCC